rnacentral:tRNA from 1 species
GGGCUUUAGCUCAGUUGGGAGAGCGCCUGCCUUGCAAGCAGGAGGUCAUCGGUUCGAUCCCGUUAAGCUCC